rnacentral:rRNA from 1 species
UACGUAGGGUGCAAGCGUUGUCCGGAAUUAUUGGGCGUAAAGAGCUCGUAGGCGGUUUGUCGCGUCUGGUGUGAAAACUCAAGGCUCAACCUUGAGCUUGCAUCGGGUACGGGCAGACUAGAGUGUGGUAGGGGUGACUGGAAUUCCUGGUGUAGCGGUGGAAUGCGCAGAUAUCAGGAGGAACCCCGAUGGCGAAGGCAGGUCACUGGGCCACUACUGACGCUGAGGAGCGAAAGCAUGGGGAGCGAACAGG